AAAAUAUUUCAUUGACGUAUAAAAUUAGUUGUACCAAUUAAACUACAUAUGGUAGCUCAUACGCAUUGUGCAUACGGACUCACUCUAAUAUGACCUUAAAAAGCUCAUUUUUUAAAGUUAGCCCAAGAAUACUCACCUUAGCUAUUCAAAAUCUUCACAACACCAAUGUUCUAUAUUAUACUAGCUAGGAAACUAGGCCCUAGAAAACAAGUAAAAGGGGUGGCAAAGUUGGUGCCAGCAGUCGCGGUUAUACCAACACCCCAAGCUAAUUACAGCAAAUCAAGGUAAUCAUCUUUUAAAGACCCACAAAAUCAACUUUUAAUGUAAAAAGUAAAUUAGAACUAAACCCAACCUGGUCAUACUAUAUUACCUUAACAAACCACAACCUCAGAACUCGGAUUAGAUACCCGACUACUGUGUGGCCCAACACAAAAAAGAAUACUACGAGCGAAAGCUUAAACCUCAAACAAUGUGGCGGUGCUUUACUCCUUGUCAGGGGAUCCUGUGGCUUAAUUCGAUAAUCCACGAAAAUCUUAGCUAUUCUUGCACUUCAGCUUGUGUAUGGCCGUUUAUGCUUGCUCAAAGAAGAAAAAAAAGGAAGCAAUAGAACCACAAUUCAAGAAUUCAGGUGACAUACAGCCAAUGAAAAGCAGACCCAUGGGAUACAAAUAAACAUACUAGCGAAUUCUAAAGCUCAAAACUUUAAUGAAGGAGGACUUGAAAGUAAGACUUUAACCUUUACACAAAAUAAGUCUGAACAAGAACUAAAGCGCGCACAAAUCGCCCGUCACUCCGGCAAUAAAGCAGGAUAAGUCGUAACACAGUAGGGGUAAUGGAAAUUGCCCCUAUUACA
rnacentral:ncRNA from 1 species